rnacentral:rRNA from 1 species
AACCUUUAUGUUAGACCUCAAAUCAGGUAGGACUACCCGCUGAACUUAA